CAGCCCUAAACGAUGCGCGUUAGGUGUAUCGGUGACCACGAGUCACCGAGGUGCCGAAGGGAAACCGUGAAACGUGCCACCUGGGAAGUACGGUCGCAAGGCUGAAACUUAAAAGAAUUGGCGGGGGAGCACCACAACGGGUGGAGCCUGCGGUUUAAUUGGACUCAACGCCGGGAAGCUCACCGGAUAAGACAGCGGAAUGAUUGCCGGGCUGAAGACCCUGCAUGACCAGCUGAGAGGAGGUGCAUGGCGUAGUCGUGU
rnacentral:rRNA from 1 species